UGCAGUCGAACGAAGACCCGGAGCUUGCUCCGGAUCUCUUAGUGGCGAACGGGUGAGUAACGCGUGGGAAUCUACCUUAAAGUGGGGAAUAACUAUUGGAAACGAUAGCUAAUACCGCAUAAUCCCUCAGGGGCAAAGGCUUCGGCCGCUUUUAGAUGAGCCCGCGUUAGAUUAGGCUGUUGGUGAGGUAAUGGCUCACCAAACCUGUAAUCUAUAGCUGGUCUGAGAGGACGAUCAGCCACACUGGGACUGAGACACGGCCCAGACUCCUACGGGAGGCAGCAGUGGGGAAUAUUGGACAAUGGGGGAAACCCUGAUCCAGCAAUGCCGCGUGAGUGAUGAAGGCCCUAGGGUUGUAAAACUCUUUCAGAAGUGAAGAUGAUGACGGUAACUUCAGAAGAAGCUCCGGCUAACUCCGUGCCAGCAGCCGCGGUAAUACGGAGGGAGCUAGCGUUGUUCGGAAUUACUGGGCGUAAAGAGCGUGUAGGCUGUUAGGUAAGUCAGAGGUGAAAUCCCUAAGCUCAACUUAGGAACUGCCUUUGAUACUAUCUUACUAGAGAUCGAGAGAAGUUAGCGGAACUCCAAGUGUAGAGGUGAAGUUCGUAGAUAUUUGGAAGAACACCAGUGGCGAAAGCGGCUAACUGGCUCGUAUCUGACGCUGAGACGCGAAAGCGUGGGUAGCAAACAGGAUUAGAUACCCUGGUAGUCCACGCCGUANACGAUGUGUGCUAGCCGUUUGUGAUUUAUCGCAGGUGGUGCAGCUAACGCGUUAAGCACACCGCCUGGGGAGUACGAUCGCAAGAUUAAAACUCAAAGGAAUUGA
rnacentral:rRNA from 1 species